rnacentral:rRNA from 1 species
ACUCCUACGGGAGGCAGCAGUGGGGAAUAUUGCACAAUGGGGGAAACCCUGAUGCAGCCAUGCCGCGUGUGUGAAGAAGGCCUUGGGUUGUAAAGCACUUUCAGUAGGGAGGAAGGUAGUGUAGUUAACACCUGCAUUAUUUGUACGUUACCUACAGAAGAAGCACCGGCUAACUCCGUGCCAGCAGCCGCGGUAAUACGGAGGGUGCGAGCGUUAAUCGGAAUUACUGGGCGUAAAGCGCAUGCAGGCGGCCUGUUAAGUCAGAUGUGAAAGCCCGGGGUCUUAACCUCGGAAUUGCAUUUGAAACUGGCAGGCUAGAGUCUUGUAGAGGGGUUAGAAUUUCAGGUGUAGCGGUGAAAUGCGUAGAGAUCUGAAGGAAUACCAGUGGCGAAGG